GGUUAAGCGACUAAGCGUACACGGUGGAUGCCCUGGCAGUCAGAGGCGAUGAAGGACGUGCUAAUCUGCGAUAAGCGUCGGUAAGGUGAUAUGAACCGUUAUAACCGGCGAUUUCCGAAUGGGGAAACCCAGUGUGAUUCGUCACACUAUCAUUAACUGAAUCCAUAGGUUAAUGAGGCGAACCGGGGGAACUGAAACAUCUAAGUACCCCGAGGAAAAGAAAUCAACCGAGAUUCCCCCAGUAGCGGCGAGCGAACGGGGAGGAGCCCAGAGCCUGAAUCAGUGUGUGUGUUAGUGGAAGCGUCUGGAAAGGCGCGCGAUACAGGGUGACAGCCCCGUACACAAAAAUGCACAUACUGUGAGCUCGAUGAGUAGGGCGGGACACGUGGUAUCCUGUCUGAAUAUGGGGGGACCAUCCUCCAAGGCUAAAUACUCCUGACUGACCGAUAGUGAACCAGUACCGUGAGGGAAAGGCGAAAAGAACCCCGGCGAGGGGAGUGAAAAAGAACCUGAAACCGUGUACGUACAAGCAGUGGGAGCACGCUUCGGCGUGUGACUGCGUACCUUUUGUAUAAUGGGUCAGCGACUUAUAUUCUGUAGCAAGGUUAACCGAAUAGGGGAGCCGAAGGGAAACCGAGUCUUAACUGGGCGUUAAGUUGCAGGGUAUAGACCCGAAACCCGGUGAUCUAGCCAUGGGCAGGUUGAAGGUUGGGUAACACUAACUGGAGGACCGAACCGACUAAUGUUGAAAAAUUAGCGGAUGACUUGUGGCUGGGGGUGAAAGGCCAAUCAAACCGGGAGAUAGCUGGUUCUCCCCGAAAGCUAUUUAGGUAGCGCCUCGUGAAUUCAUCUCCGGGGGUAGAGCACUGUUUCGGCAAGGGGGUCAUCCCGACUUACCAACCCGAUGCAAACUGCGAAUACCGGAGAAUGUUAUCACGGGAGACACACGGCGGGUGCUAACGUCCGUCGUGAAGAGGGAAACAACCCAGACCGCCAGCUAAGGUCCCAAAGUCAUGGUUAAGUGGGAAACGAUGUGGGAAGGCCCAGACAGCCAGGAUGUUGGCUUAGAAGCAGCCAUCAUUUAAAGAAAGCGUAAUAGCUCACUGGUCGAGUCGGCCUGCGCGGAAGAUGUAACGGGGCUAAACCAUGCACCGAAGCUGCGGCAGCGACACUAUGUGUUGUUGGGUAGGGGAGCGUUCUGUAAGCCUGUGAAGGUGUACUGUGAGGUAUGCUGGAGGUAUCAGAAGUGCGAAUGCUGACAUAAGUAACGAUAAAGCGGGUGAAAAGCCCGCUCGCCGGAAGACCAAGGGUUCCUGUCCAACGUUAAUCGGGGCAGGGUGAGUCGACCCCUAAGGCGAGGCCGAAAGGCGUAGUCGAUGGGAAACAGGUUAAUAUUCCUGUACUUGGUGUUACUGCGAAGGGGGGACGGAGAAGGCUAUGUUGGCCGGGCGACGGUUGUCCCGGUUUAAGCGUGUAGGCUGGUUUUCCAGGCAAAUCCGGAAAAUCAAGGCUGAGGCGUGAUGACGAGGCACUACGGUGCUGAAGCAACAAAUGCCCUGCUUCCAGGAAAAGCCUCUAAGCAUCAGGUAACAUCAAAUCGUACCCCAAACCGACACAGGUGGUCAGGUAGAGAAUACCAAGGCGCUUGAGAGAACUCGGGUGAAGGAACUAGGCAAAAUGGUGCCGUAACUUCGGGAGAAGGCACGCUGAUAUGUAGGUGAAGCGACUUGCUCGUGGAGCUGAAAUCAGUCGAAGAUACCAGCUGGCUGCAACUGUUUAUUAAAAACACAGCACUGUGCAAACACGAAAGUGGACGUAUACGGUGUGACGCCUGCCCGGUGCCGGAAGGUUAAUUGAUGGGGUUAGCG
rnacentral:rRNA from 1 species